UGGCCUUGGGUGGAUCGGGUCUCUGGGCAGAGCGUGUGUCCGGCAGAGCUAGGACCGGAAAAAGCCACUCUAGGUCUAGGUUAGGAGUGAUGACAGUUAAAAGAUAUAUAAGGAAAAGAAGGAAAGGAUCGUUUCUGUAUAAAACGAGCUAUUUUUGCAUAUCGAGCGCAUAAGUUUUAUAACUUAGGUGUCUGUUUAUGGAGAGGGUGGGAUACUACCUUUUAGCUCAAGGAGUGCACAAAACGGUAUCAUGAAUUCUGCUCUUUUGAUUCAAACACCCAACUUUGAAGAAUCGCUCAUGGUGCUUGUAAAACACGUAUCCCCAGAUCCCUCCCUAGACCUAUCGAACAACUCCAACGGUCUCGGGAAUGUGCGGGGUUUCUGAAAAGCUUGGGAAGCAAGACCUGACUAGACCCCCAAAUCUGAUAUUGGCUGAAUGGCCGACCAAUGGAGUGCAUAAGAAGGAAAACAUAAUACACUGACACAGAGACAACUACAGGGGAGAAGCAUGAAUGUGAGGCAGAGACUGGAGUGGUAUAUCUACAAGUGAAGGAAUGCCAAGGAUUGCUGGCAACCACCACAAGCUAGAGAGAGGCAAGGAGGGAUCUUCUACAGCCUUCAGAGAGAACACGACCCUGCUGACAACUUGAUUUUGGACUUCCAGCCUCUAGAAUUUUGAAUGACUUAAGUUUCUGCUGUUCUAAGCCACCUUGUUUGUGGUACUUUGUUAUGGCAGUUCUAAGAAGUUAAUAUGGGCAUUGAGUAAAUGAAGGGUAUUUUGGGCAUAUAAUUCCAAUAGAGUGCUAACAUAUUGCAGUAAUAUACUGGUUCAAUAACUGAAAAAUUGUUGUAGUGCCUGUAGACUAAUUUUUGUAAAGUCUUAUUUCAAAAAUGCCAUGUCUGGAUACAAAGGCAGCCCAAUUUCUAGAAAUGUAUACCAGCCAUGAAGAGAUAAAGCUCCAAGAGGAGAUUUCUCUUUCUGGUAUAAGGAUUUAAACAAAACCUAGAAUGUCGCAGUACUCGAAGUAUCCAAAACAACUGAAAAAUGAAGAAGAAUAAAAGAAGAAUCCAAAAGUAUCCAAAAUAACUGAACAUAUGAAGAAUCAU
rnacentral:lncRNA from 10 species